CCGGGCUGUAGCCCGGUGGGACUCGGUCUCUUCUCAUCCUGCCGCUGUCCGCCUGGGAGAGGACGUGGCCUCGAGCUGCGCUACUGGAGGUUUAGACACAUCCCAGCAGUGCUGGGGCUUCCCUGUGUGCUGGGGUGAUGCCAGUCAUGGUAGAAACCCUAGUGACCCUGCCUGCCAUAAAUACCCCCCAGAUCCCUGCAGCCGCCUCAUUUAUUGCCA